CCCAGGGGAACUGUUGACAAAUAUGAGGUGAUAUCCUGUCAUUUACAGAGUCGCAAACAGCAUUCUUCCCAUUCUGCCUCUCAGAUGCCGCUUUCUUUCCCACUAUUUCCUUUUACCGCCACCAAGGGACAGAAGCUCCAGGCUGCGGUGGAGCGGCUCAUCACGGGAGCCUCUCGCAACUGCUGCCCGUGAAAGGGAGGUGGCCCUCGACUCGCCUGGUGAUGGAUUAACUCUCUGGGUGCUAGAUGGACGACUGCCACUGUUGCUAGAGAACAACCUGCUUGUCCGGUUAUAUGGCUGCUCACUUGGUUCCACAGAUGUGCCUGGCCUGCUGCUUGAUGCAAUAGC
rnacentral:lncRNA from 1 species